AGGGUUUGAUCAUGGCUCAGAACGUACGCUGGCGGCACGCCUAACACAUGCAAGUCGAACGAAGUAGCAAUACUUAGUGGCAGACGGGUGAGUAACAUGUAGGUAUCUGCCCUUUGGCCUGGAAUAACACGAGGAAACUUGUGCUAAUACCGGAUAAGUCUUUACAGAGAAAGCUUUAUGCACCAUUGGAUGAGCCUGCACUUGAUUAGUUUGUUGGUGGGGUAAUGGCCUACCAAGACUGUGAUCAAUAGCUGAUUUGAGAGGAUGAUCAGCCACAUUGGGACUGAGACACGGCCCAAACUCCUACGGGAGGCAGCAGUGGGGAAUCUUGCACAAUGGAGGAAACUCUGAUGCAGCGAUGCCGCGUGAGUGAAGAAGGCCUUUGGGUUGUAAAGCUCUUUCGUCGGGGAAGAAAAUGACUGUACCCGAAUAAGAAGGUCCGGCUAACUUCGUGCCAGCAGCCGCGGUAAUACGAAGGGACCUAGCGUAGUUCGGAAUUACUGGGCUUAAAGAGUUCGUAGGUGGUUGAAAAAGUUGGUGGUGAAAUCCCAGAGCUUAACUCUGGAACUGCCAUCAAAACUUUUCAGCUAGAGUAUGAUAGAGGAAAGCAGAAUUUCUAGUGUAGAGGUGAAAUUCGUAGAUAUUAGAAAGAAUACCAAUUGCGAAGGCAGCUUUCUGGAUCAUUACUGACACUGAGGAACGAAAGCAUGGGUAGCGAAGAGGAUUAGAUACCCUCGUAGUCCAUGCCGUAAACGAUGUGUGUUAGACGUUGGAAAUUUAUUUUCAGUGUCGCAGCGAAAGCGAUAAACACACCGCCUGGGGAGUACGACCGCAAGGUUAAAACUCAAAUGAAUUGACGGGGACCCGCACAAGUAGUGGAGCAUGUGGUUUAAUUCGAAGAUACGCGCAGAACCUUACCAACACUUGACAUGUUCGUCGCGACUUUAAGAGAUUAAAGUUUUCGGUUCGGCCGGACGAAACACAGGUGCUGCAUGGCUGUCGUCAGCUCGUGUCGUGAGAUGUUGGGUUAAGUCCCGCAACGAGCGCAACCCUCACUUUUAGUUGCCAUCAUUCAGUUGGGCACUCUGAAAGAACUGCCAGUGAUAAGCUGGAGGAAGGUGGGGAUGACGUCAAGUCCUCAUGGCCCUUACGUGUUGGGCUACACACGUGCUACAAUGGUAUCUACAACAGGAAGCAAGACGGCGACGUUAAGCAAAUCCUUAAAAGAUACCUCAGUUCGGAUUGCACUCUGCAACUCGAGUGCAUGAAGCUGGAAUUACUAGUAAUCGUGGAUCAGCGUGCCACGGUGAAUGCGUUCCCGGGUCUUGUACACACCGCCCGUCACACCAUGGGAGUUGGUUCUACCUUAAGGCAAGGUUUAAAACCCUUGACCACGGUAUAGUCAGCGACUGGGGUGAAGUCGUAACAAGGUAGCCGUA
rnacentral:rRNA from 1 species